CACGAGCCGCUUCUUCUCCAACCGAACGGGGCCAAUUGCUUUCCCUUCUUGCCUCCCCAUUCGGUCUGUGUUGGUUCCGCAGUCAUCCAACUGUGGCGUUUCUUAAAACAUGUCAGUGGCUGGUGUUUGUGUUUGGGGUUGAGCAGUUUCGCACACGUCGCGGGAGACGGUGCUCAAGCAGCUGCCGCGCUGGGUUCCCGGCUUUCCGCGGCUCCGGGAGGGUCAGGUAGAAAAAGGAAGCGACUCGAAGGCGGGGGUGGAGACGAGAAAGGACGCCCGCCUCCGCCGACUGCCUGCCGUGGGGUCGGAAGCCUCCUCCAGACGCGGACAGGUAAAAGCAUCUUCUUAAAAUGGCCUUAUUUUGACUCCCAUCAAAAACCCAAUGAAGUAGGCAACAUUGCCUCCAUUCUGCGGAUGAAAAAACUGAGGUUCACACACAGUCCUCACAUCAGAGAGCUGGCUGCCUAUUUAGGUCUGCAUGUAAGUCCUAACUCAACCAUGUUCCCAGAGUCCAAGAGGACUGAAGUGGCUCAGAUAACCUCCAACUUCUGCAGUUUCCUUUGAAACGGGAAGAAGUCCCCAAGCAUCAGUGUCACACAGGAUAACGGAUUUUGCACAUCUCUUCUCAUCACGAACAAUCCUGAGCUUAUUUUAUUAAUAGCAGAUCUGCGGCCCAGCAAUCCCCUCAAGCAACUACAGAACAGAAAAAUGACACUUGUUAUAUAUGAAGAACAAAGCAAAACUUCCACAUUCUUUCAUGGCUUUUGGAAAAGCAGUCUUGUUGAGAAUAGUAUAAACGGAUUGUUCUAUGAAAGGGUUGUCUUUAAGAAGAGUAAUUCAAAGCUGGGCCAUCAGAUUUGAGAAGAGUUUUGACCAAAAGAGAAACAACUUAACCCUAUUUGCAAAGGUUUUUAUAAAUACAGUAUUUCUUUGCAAAAAAUACAAAAAUUAACCAUACAAGUAUGUCUUUAUUUUAAUUCUCUGUAAUGAUACUGGACUUCACAUUUUCUUUUUAUGAGAAGAAAUGGCAGCUGUGUAUUUUAUUUGUAAUUUAGUUGGACUGUUUGCUAAAUGUUAGCAAUUAUAGCAAAAUAUGAAUAAUAAAAAAGAAAAAGUUGUCCGGUCAGAAUCUGACCUCCCUUUUUAUCCCUGGUGCAUGACUCUUGACUAUAUCAAAGCAAGAUAAAUUGGAAUUAGUAACGUGCUAUUUUCCAUUCAUCUAACUGACAAUUAAGCUAAGUGAAGCAAAUUUGGCCUUGAAGUAUAUAGAAUUAGUCUACAUUAAACAGAAAAGAGUUAGAGC
rnacentral:lncRNA from 1 species